AACGCGAAGAACCUUACCUGGCCUUGACAUCCUGGGAACCCUGCAGAGAUGCGGGGGUGCCUUCGGGAACCCAGAGACAGGUGCUGCAUGGCUGUCGUCAGCUCGUGUCGUGAGAUGUUGGGUUAAGUCCCGCAACGAGCGCAACCCUUGUCCUUAGUUGCCAGCAUUCAGUUGGGAACUCUAAGGAGACCGCCGGUGACAAACCGGAGGAAGGUGGGGAUGACGUCAAGUCAUCAUGGCCUUUAUGGCCAGGGCUACACACGUGCUACAAUGGUAGGAACAGAGGGAAGCCAACGCGCAAGCGGGAGCCAAUCCCAGAAAACCUAUCGUAGUCCGGAUUGGAGUCUGCAACUCGACUCCAUGAAGUUGGAAUCGCUAGUAAUCGCAGAUCAGCAUUGCUGCGGUGAAUACGUUCCCGGGCCUUGUA
rnacentral:rRNA from 1 species